AUCUGAUUUGGGGGUGUAUCACUGUUUGUUUCAACUAAAUAAAGUGCUGACUGCUGAGGCAAGCAUCAGACUGUCAUUCACAGACGAGGCAGGUGGAAAGCAGUGGUCCCCCCUCAACCGGACCCUCCUGGCUUGUGUAGGGCUUGCUGCAGCCUUCCUAGGGGCGUUGGUCACCUUCUGCGUAGCUCGUUACCAAGCAAAGCACAGCUCCAAGAACACUGGAAAUAAAGAUCUAAAGGGCAGUGAUCUGCAUUAUGCCAGCCUGAAAUGCCACGGCAUAAAUGGUCAGAAAAAACUCAUACAUCCCCCAGAUGUGACCUACGCCACCGUGGCCAGACGCUCUCCUGUCGCUGUCGUAUAGUCAUCUUCACUGAAUGUACUUAUACUUUGAGGGCAAAGUGAAUAUUGUUAUACUGUGUUUGUGUAAAUGUACAGUAUGUG